rnacentral:rRNA from 1 species
AUUGAACGCUGGCGGCAGGCCUAACACAUGCAAGUCGAGCGGAUGAAGGGGGCUUGCUCCUGGAUUCAGCGGCGGACGGGUGCGUAAUGCCUAGGAAUCUGACUGGUAGUAGGGGAUAACGUCCGGAAACGGGCGCUAAUACCGCAUACGACCUGAGGGAGAACGUUGGGGAUCUUCGGAACUCACGCUAUCAGAUGAGCCUAGGUCGGAUUAGCUAGUUGGUGGGGUAGAGGCCUACCAAGGCGACGAUCCGUAACUGGGCUGAGAGGAUGAUCAGUCACACUGGAACUGAGACACGGUCCAGACUCCUACGGGAGGCAGCAGUGGGGAAAAGUGGACAAGGGGCGAAAGCCUGAUCCAGCCAUGCCGCGUGUGUGAAGAAGGUCUUCGGAUUGUAAAGCACUUUAAGUUGGGAGGAAGGGCAGUAAGUUAAUCCCUUACUGUGUUGACGGUACCAACAGAAUAAGCACCGGCUAACUUCGUG